UACGUAGGUGGCAAGCGUUAUCCGGAUUUAUUGGGCGUAAAGGGAACGCAGGCGGUCUUUUAAGUCUGAUGUGAAAGCCUUCGGCUUAACCGGAGUAGUGCAUUGGAAACUGGGAGACUUGAGUGCAGAAGAGGAGAGUGGAACUCCAUGUGUAGCGGUGAAAUGCGUAGAUAUAUGGAAGGACACCAGUGGCGAAAGCGGCUCUCUGGUCUGUAACUGACGCUGAGGUUCGAAAGCGUGGGUAGCGAACAGG
rnacentral:rRNA from 1 species